UGGUUUGGGCUUUUUUUUUUUUUUAGCCCUGUUGCACUUGUUCUUUGAUUUUUUUCCUUUUGUUUAUUGAACAAUGUCUAACAGGAAGAAAACAAUUACUAAAGGGAAAAUAAGUUUUAUCAGUGAAAAGCCCUCGUUACAAAUAAGUCUCGUAAAGUUUGAUGGGACCAAUUAUCUAACAUGGUUCGGAUCUUGUUUGCCUUUUUUUCAAGCUAGAGGACUGUAAGGGUUAUAUCACUGGGGAUAACUUGACACUAGAAGCCGCAAGUUCUACCUAUAAUCAAUGGGAAUCCGAUAAUUCGCUUGUGAUGUCCUGGCUCAUCAACUCCAUACAACCUUAGAUUGCAUGAAGGUAUUUACUAUUGAAUAAUGCAUCCUCAAUUUGGAAUGUAGUCUCUCAAACCUAUUUCCAAAUGGGCAACGAUGCAUAGAUUUAUGAGAUAUGGAAUAAGGUUCAUGGUACAAAGCAAGGUGAGAUGACUAUUGCACAAUAUUUUGCUGAGUUGAGUCUUUAUGGUAGGAACUAGACUAUUAUCAGGAUUUUCAGGCUAGAUGUAUUGUUGAUACUAUUAAAUUUCAGAAACUGAUUGAAAAGGAGAGCAUAAAUGCUUUCUUGCUGGAUUGAAUAUAGAGUAUAAUCAAAUAUGGGUCCAAGUGUUUGAUAAGGGUCCGUUGCCUCCCUUGAGGCAAACAUAUUCAUAUAUACAGCAGGAGAAGAGUCGUAGGAGUAUCAUGGUCCAUUCCUCCUCUGUGGACAAGGCAAGACUCAUAGCUGCCUCCUCAAAAGAAGAAUCACAGGCUCCUCACCAUGGUUCAUUGGACAAGGACCAAUUGCAUUGUGAUUACUGUGGCAAGUCUAGACAUACAAAGAAACAUUGCUGGAAAUUGUAUGGUUGCCAUCAAAGGGCAUGGUGGCAAACGAACAGGCCCUUCUAGACCAUAAGCCAAUGCAUCCGAAAUAGUAGACUUUAUUAAGGAGAGUUUUUCCAAUGAAGAAGCACAAACCCUGAGGUGUUUAUUGUCACAACUUGAGGCUCAAUCUACCACAGUUGCCUUCUCCAGUUUUGUUAAAUCAAAUAAUACAUUUCUUGCCAAUCUUGAUAAAAGUUGUUGGAUUAUAGAUUUUGGAGCAAACAAACAUAUGACUAGCUCUUCAAAUGGAUUUUCCACUUACUCUCCAUGUUAAGUAAAAGAAAAGGUCCGUAGAUGGAUCCUUAACUCCUAUUUUUGAAACAGGUUUUGUUACAUGCAUUCUUAAUAUAAAUUUCACUUUAGUUCU
rnacentral:misc_RNA from 1 species